rnacentral:lncRNA from 1 species
UCUGGUUCUGGUCUUUAUUCCCUUUGUGACCUAGGGUAAGUUAUUUAACUCUCCUGGGCCUCAGUUGCUGUAAUUGAGUUAAUUAAUGUCUAGUAUCUAGGCCACUGCAUAGGCAUUCUGUCAAAGUUAAUGCUCUUCUCCCCCUCAUUGUUGCACGAUGGAAUGCACAUACUCUGUACUCACACAUUGUGUCCCAGAGCUAGGCUCCUCCAUUGAAAACCCACCUGAAACUUAGUUCUUUUGGGAGCCUUCCCUCACCCCUGUGCCCUAGAGGCCAAAGGGUUGCAUAACCCUGGUAGCCAUGGUGAUCGUGUUCAUUUGCCUGAGUUUUAAGGAACAGCUACCUAGCACUCCAUCUUUUGAAUAGAGGCAAAUGUACUAGACUGUCAGUGCCUGGUUGGAUUUGUUUUUUGGCUAGUUUUGGAUGUGGGGCUUUAUACUGUGAAUUCUUGUAUAGGCUCAAGGGACAGCCUUCAAAAUAGCCAUACUUCUUGGAGGGCAUAGGUAGGUAUAGGAGAUAAUGGGAACUGUGGCACUGUUGCCUGGCGAUUGAACAUUGCUAAAGAUGGGACAUAUAUGAGGCCCAGUCUGCAUUUGGCCUUAUACAUUACAUACUAAUUGGGAACACAUUUUAUACUCUAAAGUUGUGAAAAGUUCUCCUGCCUGCAUUCCAAACUGAUGUCUGUCUGCCCUGGUUAUGCCAUUUAUUUAGAGUAGUACAUCAGGGAACCACACAUCUCAGGAGAGACCUUUGGUUUAUCCCUAGUGUAUCAGUGGGCAUUCCCCUUCCUGCUUCUCAGUGAUUUGC